rnacentral:rRNA from 1 species
AUGGCGCCGUGGUGGUCUAGCAGCAGCAGCAACAAGGGCAUCGAGGCCCAUGGGCGCAGAGGAGAUGGUGAGGAUGUGGGUCCAGGGGCGAGCAACCAUGGCGGGGGCGAGCGAGCGCCUCGUCCUCUGCUCGCACGUAGCAGAAGCGUGGUUGGAGGAGGAGGCAGCAGGGGCGCCGGGGUUGGCGCGGAGCAGGCACCGAUGAGACUUGGGGCGCUGGAGAAGGGCGCCGGCGGCGGAGAAGCUCCAGGGCGGCGGCUUGGACCAAGGCGAUGGGGAUAG